UCUCUGUUAGUAUAUCGGUUAGUACACGCGCCUGUCAUUUAUAGUGUGCGGUCGCGCGAAAGCGGGGUUCGACUCCCCGACAGAGAG